AUUGAACGCUGGCGGCAGGCCUAACACAUGCAAGUCGAGCGGUAGAGAGGUGCUUGCAUCUCUUGAGAGCGGCGGACGGGUGAGUAAUGCCUAGGAAUCUGCCUAGUGGUGGGGGAUAACGUUCGGAAACGGACGCUAAUACCGCAUACGUCCUACGGGAGAAAGCGGGGGAUCUUCGGACCUCGCGCCAUUAGAUGAGCCUAGGUCGGAUUAGCUAGUUGGUGAGGUAAUGGCUCACCAAGGCGACGAUCCGUAACUGGUCUGAGAGGAUGAUCAGUCACACUGGAACUGAGACACGGUCCAGACUCCUACGGGAGGCAGCAGUGGGGAAUAUUGGACAAUGGGCGAAAGCCUGAUCCAGCCAUGCCGCGUGUGUGAAGAAGGUCUUCGGAUUGUAAAGCACUUUAAGUUGGGAGGAAGGGCAGUAAGUUAAUACCUUGCUGUUUGACGUUACCAACAGAAUAAGCACCGGCUAACUUCGUGCCAGCAC
rnacentral:rRNA from 1 species